rnacentral:rRNA from 1 species
CAGCCGCCACGGUAAUACGUAGGUGGCAAGCGUUGUCCGGAAUUAUUGGGCGUAAAGGGCUCGCAGGCGGUUUCUUAAGCCUGAUGUGAAAGCCCCCGGCUCAACCGGGGAGGGUCAUUGGAAACUGGGAAACUUGAGUGCAGAAGAGGAGAGUGGAAUUCCACGUGUAGCGGUGAAAUGCGUAGAGAUGUGGAGGAACACCAGUGGCGAAGGCGACUCUCUGGUCUGUAACUGACGCUGAGGAGCGAAAGCGUGGGGAGCGAACAGGAUUAGAUACCCGAGUAGUCCCUGUCUCUGAUAC